rnacentral:rRNA from 1 species
UACGUAGGUGGCAAGCGAUACUCGGAAUCACUGGGCGUAAAGCGCAGGUAGGCGGUUUGAUAAGUCUUUUGUGAAAGCUCCCGGCUUAACUGGGAGAGGUCAAGGGAAACUGUCAGGCUAGAGUUUGGUAGGGGAUACUGGAAUUCCUGGUGUAGCGGUGAAAUGCGUAGAUAUCAGGAGGAAUACCUAUGGCGAAAGCAGGUAUCUGGGCCACAACUGACGCUGAGCUGCGAAAGCUAGGGGAGCAAACAGG